UAUUUCAUCGUGAAUUUGAUCGACCUAGUGCCAUCGAAGAAUCUAUGCCCAACAUAUCAAAGCGAGUGCAGUAUUUUAAGGUCAGGUCGUCUAGAUUUACGACAGCUGUACUGAGUCAAUCUCUGCAGUCAAGAAAAAUCUAAUUAAAUUCGCGCAACCGUUUUAGGUUAGUGUACAACAAGGACGGGUAGACAUAGUCGGUGAAAAUAUUCAUCUAGGCCUACUAAUAUUAGGAUAGGGAACAGAGAAGUAUUAAGAUUGAUCGUGCAACACUAACACGGACAAUCUAUAUUGCAGAAUACUUGGCUACACGAGGUCAAGGAAGGUUGCUACGAGGAAGUUAAUUUCUCACGAUGCCAUGUCCAUAAUCAGUGCGACAUCUUCUGACAAUGGUUCUCGACUAUCACACUUCUAGACUGUUGAACGGAAUCUAGGGAGGGAGAUAAUCUACAUGAGAUGACUUGAAAUUAUGAUGGGCUUUCACACACGUGCGUAAAAGAGAGCUUCAUAUACGCACUCCAGGCAGUACAAUUAAGAAGACUAAGCAUCGGCCAAUACUCCAAAAUCCAUUGAACAUCAGUUUAACAUUCAUCUUUGGAAGACGCUGAAAGGAUAUAGGGCUUAUAUUUUGGAAUUGCAAUACACUAGACAAGAUGGAAAAAUCCUGGGAAGAAUCGCUUGGCUUUAACGCAAUCGCAGCAUUUCUCUUCUUCCUAGAGGUCUACCAUAUCGUUGGACAUGCCCUUAUAUUAUUCCGCAUUCGAUUACUUCCGCGAAAGGAUUUAGUACGUGUGCGGUACUACUUUCUGAUAGACGCAUUAACAGUGUUUGUGACGUCAUUUGUCUACACCGGAAGGCUGAGAUGGCUGGCUCUUUUGCAGAAUGCACAGCAUAUAUAUUUCUUCAUUACUUGGAACAGUCCCAAUGAGAAACAUUUCACAAAUAGGGUGAUAAGCUGGAGCUCCCUAGACUGGCUCAAGGACGAGAAGACCCAAUCCAGACAGGAAUGGUUUAUCUUCCUCGGAACAUUGUUUGACGUCAUAGUUCACUGUGUAAAUGCUUACAUCUUGAGUCAAUACAUGCACGCUGUUGAGAUGGUCGUUGGUUUGAGUUUGGUGAGCGUCCUGUCCUAUCUGAUCCUUUAUAACACGCGCUAUGCAUGGUCGAACCCGGACGAGGUGCCAAAAUGGGUGGAGAAACGCGUCAAGCCAGUUCCACCUCAGAACGUAGGGAACGCAACAGCAUACUUUUAAGUUCUUUCUUCUUUGACUAUAUUUAAUGUAACAAAAUGCUAUGGACGAUUUCCAGAUGCUUGAAACAAUGCAAUUAUGAACAAUUAAGUCUAGUCUUGACUUAUUUAGGUUUUGAUUAAGUAGACGGGGUUCAGAGAUAUGCUUAAAGACUAUGAGAAAUCAGCAAAUAUAUGGAAUAAGCAUUUGCAUGAUACUUUUCUACAGGGUGACAAAGAUACAACCCACUUAUUUUGGAAUAACUGAAGGAAGGAACCUUCAUGAUUUUUAU
rnacentral:misc_RNA from 1 species